GAUGAACGCUAGCGGGAGGCUUAACACAUGCAAGUCGAGGGGCAGCAUGAUGUAGCAAUACAUUGAUGGCGACCGGCAGACGGGUGAGUAACACGUAUGUAACCUACCCUGUACAGGGGGAUAACCCGGAGAAAUUCGGACUAAUAUCCCAUAAUAUUAUGAGAGGGCAUCUGAUUAUAAUUAAAGUUCCGGCGGUACAGGCUGGGCAUGCGGAACAUUAGCUAGUUGGUAAGGUAACGGCUUACCAAGGCUUUGAUGUUUAGGGGUCCUGAGAGGGUGGUCCCCCACACUGGUACUGAGACACGGACCAGACUCCUACGGGAGGCAG
rnacentral:rRNA from 1 species